GUGCCAGCCGCCGCGGUAAAACGUAGGAGGCAAGCGUUAUCCGGAGUUACUGGGCGUAAAGCGCGUGUAGGCGGUUGAGCAGGUCAGGUGUGAAAGCUCCCAGGCUAAACCGGGAGAGGUCACUUGAAACCGCUCGGCUAGAGUNCGAUAGAGGGGUGUAGAAUUCCGGGUGUAGUGGUGAAAUGCGCAGAUAUCCGGAGGAAUACCAGUGGCGAAGGCGGCACCCUAGGUCGAAACUGACGCUGAGACGCGAAAGCAUGGGGAGCGAACGGGAUUAGAGACCCCGGUAGUCCAUGCCGUAAACGAUGCAUACUGACUGUUCGUGACGGGAAACCGUUGGGAGUGGUGAAGCAAACGCGAUAAGUAUGCCGCCUGAGGAGUACGGUCGCAAGGCUAAAACUCAAAUGAAUUGACGG
rnacentral:rRNA from 1 species